AGGGGCAGCGGGAAGUCAGCUUGCUGACUUUGCCGGCGACCGGCGCACGGGUGAGUAACACGUAUCCAACCUGCCUCAUACUCGGGGAUAGCCUUGCGAAAGAAAGAUUAAUACCGGAUAGUAUCGAGAGAUUGCAUGAUUACCCGAUUAAAGAUUCAUCGGUAACGGAUGGGGAUGCGUUCCAUUAGGCAGUUGGCGGGGUAACGGCCCACCAAGCCUUCGAUGGAUAGGGGUUCUGAGAGGAAGGUCCCCACAUUGGAACUGAGACACGGUCCAAACUCC
rnacentral:rRNA from 1 species